GACGAACGCUGGCGGCGUGCUUAACACAUGCAAGUCGAACGGAAAGGCCCCUUUGGGGGUACUCGAGUGGCGAACGGGUGAGUAACACGUGAGUAACCUGCCCUUGACUUCGGGAUAACUUCAGGAAACUGGGGCUAAUACCGGAUAGGAAUCCUGGCGGCAGGGUGGGGGUUGGAAAGCUUCGGCGGUUUUGGAUGGACUCGCGGCUUAUCAGCUUGUUGGUGGGGUAGUGGCUUACCAAGGCUUUGACGGGUAGCCGGCCUGAGAGGGCGACCGGCCACAUUGGGACUGAGAUACGGCCCAGACUCCUACGGGAGGCAGCAGUGGGGAAUAUUGCACAAUGGGCGGAAGCCUGAUGCAGCAACGCCGCGUGCGGGAUGACGGCCUUCGGGUUGUAAACCGCUUUCAGCAGGGGCGAAGCUUGUGGUGACGGUACCUGCAGAAGAAGCACCGGCUAACUACGUG
rnacentral:rRNA from 1 species